CCUACGGGCGGCAGCAGUGAGGAAUAUUGGUCAAUGGACGAGAGUCUGAACCAGCCAAGUAGCGUGAAGGAUGACUGCCCUAUGGGUUGUAAACUUCUUUUAUAUGGGAAUAAAAUGUUCCACGUGUGGGAUUUUGUAUGUACCAUAUGAAUAAGGAUCGGCUAACUCCGUGCCAGCAGCCGCGGUAAUACGGAGGAUCCGAGCGUUAUCCGGAUUUAUUGGGUUUAAAGGGAGCGUAGGUGGAUUGUUAAGUCAGUUGUGAAAGUUUGCGGCUCAACCGUAAAAUUGCAGUUGAAACUGGCAGUCUUGAGUACAGUAGAGGUGGGCGGAAUUCGUGGUGUAGCGGUGAAAUGCUUAGAUAUCACGAAGAACUCCGAUUGCGAAGGCAGUUCACUGGACUGCAGCUGACACUGAGGCUCGAAAGUGUGGGUAUCAAACAGGAUUAGAUACCCUAGUAGUC
rnacentral:rRNA from 1 species